rnacentral:rRNA from 1 species
CAGUCGCCGCGGUAAUACGGAGGGUGCAAGCGUUAAUCGGAAUUACUGGGCGUAAAGCGCACGCAGGCGGUCUGACAAGUCAGAUGUGAAAUCCCCGGGCUUAACCUGGGAACUGCAUUUGAAACUGUCAGGCUGGAGUCUUGUAGAGGGGGGUAGAAUUCCAGGUGUAGCGGUGAAAUGCGUAGAGAUCUGGAGGAAUACCGGUGGCGAAGGCGGCCCCCUGGACAAAGACUGACGCUCAGGUGCGAAAGCGUGGGGAGCAAACAGGAUUAGAGACCCCAGUAGUCCCUGACUCUUAUAC